rnacentral:rRNA from 1 species
GACGAACGCUGGCGGCGUGCCUAAUACAUGCAAGUCGAGCGAAGUUUUUCUGGUGCUUGCACUAGAAAAACUUAGCGGCGAACGGGUGAGUAACACGUAAAGAACCUGCCUCAUAGACUGGGACAACUAUUGGAAACGAUAGCUAAUACCGGAUAACAGCAUUAACUGCAUGGUUGAUGUUUAAAAGUUGGUUUUGCUAACACUAUGAGAUGGCUUUGCGGUGCAUUAGCUAGUUGGUGGGGUAAAGGCCUACCAAGGCGACGAUGCAUAGCCGACCUGAGAGGGUGAUCGGCCACACUGGGACUGAGACACGGCCCAGACUCCUACGGGAGGCAGCAGUAGGGAAUCUUCCGCAAUGGGCGAAAGCCUGACGGAGCAACGCCGCGUGAGUGAAGAAGGAUUUCGGUUCGUAAAGCUCUGUUGUUAGGGAAGAAUGAUUGUGUAGUAACUAUACACAGUAGAGACGG